UACGAAGGGGGCUAGCGUUGCUCGGAAUCACUGGGCGUAAAGGGCGCGUAGGCGGCCGAUCAAGUCAGAGGUGAAAGCCCAAGGCUCAACCUUGGAAUUGCCUUUGAUACUGUUCGGCUAGAGACCGGAAGAGGUUAGUGGAACUGCGAGUGUAGAGGUGAAAUUCGUAGAUAUUCGCAAGAACACCAGUGGCGAAGGCGGCUAACUGGUCCGGUUCUGACGCUGAGGCGCGAAAGCCAGGGGAGCAAACGGG
rnacentral:rRNA from 1 species